rnacentral:piRNA from 1 species
UCUAAGAGGUGAAUAGAAAAAUUAGUUA